rnacentral:rRNA from 1 species
UUUAAUUGAAGAGUUUGAUCAUGGCUCAGAUUGAACGCUGGCGGCAGGCCUAACACAUGCAAGUCGAGCGGUAACAGGAAAGCGCUUGCGCUUUUGCUGACGAGCGGCGGACGGGUGAGUAAUGUCUGGGGAUCUGCCCGAGGGCGGGGGAUAACCACUGGAAACGGUGGCUAAUACCGCAUAAUGUCGCGAGACCAAAGUGGGGGACCUGAAAGGGCCUCA